GCCUUGAUGGUGAAAUGGUAUACACGCAAGAUUCAAAAUUUUGUGCCGCAAGCAUGGAGGUUCGAAUCCUCUUCAAGGCA
rnacentral:tRNA from 2 species